GGAAGCGUGGCCGAGUGGUUUAAGGCAACGGUCUUGAAAACCGUCGGCCCCGGAAGGGGUCCGUGAGUUCGAAUCUCACCGCUUCCGCCA
rnacentral:tRNA from 1 species